GGCUUAGAGUUUGAUCAUGGCUCAGGAUAAACGCUGGCGGCGCACAUAAGACAUGCAAGUCGAACGAACUUAACCAUUAGUUUACUAUUGGAGCGGUUAGUGGCGGACUGGUGAGUAACACGUAAGCAACCUGCCUGUUAGAGGGGGACAACAGUUAGAAAUGACUGCUAAUACCGCAUAUGCCAUAGUGAGGACAUCCUCGCAGUGGGAAAGGAGAAAUCCGCUGACAGAUGGGCUUGCGUCUGAUUAGCUAGUUGGUGUGGUAACGGCAUACCAAGGCAACGAUCAGUAGCCGGACUGAGAGGUUGAACGGCCACAUUGGGACUGAGAUACGGCCCAGACUCCUACGGGAGGCAGCAGUCGGGAAUAUUGCGCAAUGGAGGAAACUCUGACGCAGUGACGCCGCGUGCAGGAAGAAGGUUUUCGGAUUGUAAACUGCUUUAGACAGGGAAGAAAAAGGACAGUACCUGUAGAAUAAGCUCCGGCUAACUACGUGCCAGCAGCCGCGGUAAUACGUAGGGAGCAAGCGUUAUCCGGAUUUAUUGGGUGUAAAGGGUGCGUAGACGGGAAAUUAAGUUAGUUGUGAAAUCCCUCGGCUCAACUGAGGAACUGCAACUAAAACUGAUUUUCUUGAGUGCUGGAGAGGAAAGUGGAAUUCCUAGUGUAGCGGUGAAAUGCGUAGAUAUUAGGAGGAACACCAGUGGCGAAGGCGACUUUCUGGACAGUAACUGACGUUGAGGCACGAAAGUGUGGGGAGCAAACAGGAUUAGAUACCCUGGUAGUCCACACCGUAAACGAUGGAUACUAGGUGUAGGGGAUGAAUAAUCUUCUGUGCCGUCGCAACGCAGUAAGUAUCCCACCUGGGGAG
rnacentral:rRNA from 1 species